rnacentral:rRNA from 1 species
GACGAACGCUGGCGGCGUGCCUAAUGCAUGCAAGUAGAACGCACAGUUUAUACCGUAGCUUGCUACACCAUAGACUGUGAGUUGCGAACGGGUUAGUAACGCGUAGGUAACCUGCCUGGUAGCGGGGGAUCACUAUUGGAAACGAUAGCUAAUACCGCAUAAUAUUAAUUAUUGCAUGAUAAUUAAUUGAAAGGUGCAAUUGCACCACUACCCGAUGGACCUGCGUUGUAUUAGCUAGUAGGUGAGGUAACGGCUCACCUAGGCGAGGAUACAUAGCCGACCUGAGAGGGGGAUAGGCCACACUGGGACGGGGACACGGCCCAGACUCCUACGGGAGGCAGCAGUAGGGAAUCUUCGGCAAUGGACGAAAGGCUGACCGAGCAACGCCGCGUGAGUGAAGAAGGUUUUCGGAUCGUAAAGCUCUGUUGUAAGAGAAGAACGGGUGAGAGUGUGGAAAGUUCACACUGUGACGGUAUCUUACCAGAAAGGGACGGCUAACUACGUG